AACGCGAAGAACCUUACCAGGGUUUGACAUCUUGAGAAUAUCUUGGAAACGAGAGAGUCCCUUCGGGAACGCAGUGACAGGUGGUGCAUGGUUGUCGUCAGCUGGUGUGGUGAGAUGUUGGAAUAAGUCCCGCAACGAGCGCAACCCUCGUCUUUAGUUGCCAGCAUUUAGUUGGGCAUUCUAGAGAGACUGCCGGUGAUAAACCGGAGGAAGGUGUGGAGGACGUCAAGUCAUCAUGCCCCUUACAUCUUGGGUUCCACCCGUAUUCCAAUGCUACGGCCAAAGGGCGGCAAAUUCGAGAGGGCAAGCAAAUCCCAUAAACCGGGGUUCAGUUCAGAUGGUAGGUUGCAAUUGGCCUCCGUGAAGGCGGAAUCGCUAGUAAUCGCAAGUCACCAUACUGCGGUGAAUACGUUCCCGGGCCUUGUACACACCG
rnacentral:rRNA from 1 species